GCUAUUAUUGGAGCAAAACCAUUCGUUAGUCCUUUUGCUAACUCUGGAUAAUACUGCUUAUCGCACGGUCUCGUACCGGCGAAGUUUCUUUCAAGUAUCUGCCCUAUCAACUGUCGUUGGUAGUGUAUUGGACUACCAUGGUGCUAACGGGUAACGGAGGAUCAGGGUCUGACUCCGGAGAGGGAGCCUUAGAAACGGCUACCAUGUCUAAGGAUAGCAGCAGGCGCGAAAAUUACCCACUGUCAACACGACGAGGUAGUGACGAGAAAUAACGAGACCGUUCUCUAUGAGGUCGGUCAUUGGAAUGGGUACAAUCUAGACAAUUUAACGAGUACCUACAGGAGGGCAAGUCUGGUGCCAGCAGCCGCGGUAAUUCCAGCUCCUGUAAUGUAUAGAAUUAUUGUUGCGGUUAAAAAGUUCGUAGUUGGAUUGUCGAACCGUCUCGGGUCCACCUUAACGGGUGGUUACUCGUGGGCGGUAUUUUACGCGUUUGUAUGCAAUUGGCUAGUCUGAUUGUAUGCUGCGCGUAGGAUUACUUUGAACGGCUUAAGUGCUCAAGGCGAGUCUUACGACUGAAUACCGGUGCAUGGAAUAAUGGAACAAGGUUUCGGCCGAGUUUUAUUGGUUUUGUCGGCUAAAACAAUGGUUAACAGGAACAGCCGGGGGCAUUCGUAUCGCUGCGCGAGAGGUGAAAUUCGUGGACCGUAGCGAGACGCACUAAAGCGAAGGCAUUUGCCAAGAGUGUUUUCAUUAAUCAAGAACGAAAGUCAGAGGUUCGAAGGCGAUUAGAUACCGCCCUAGUUCUGACCGUAAAUGAUGCCAACUGACAAUCCGCUCGUGGAUUUUUUUCAUGAGCGGGCGGUCUUCCGGAAACGAAAGUUUUUCGGUUCCGGGGGAAGUAUGGUUGCAAAGCUGAAACUUAAAGGAAUUGACGGAAGGGCACCACCAGGAGUGGAGCUUGCGGCUUAAUUUGACUCAACACGGGAAACCUCACCCGGCCAGUACAUCGUGAGGAUUGACAGACCGAUAGCUCUUUCAUGAUUCGGUGAAUGGUGGUGCAUGGCCGUUCUUAGUUCGUGGAUCGAUUUGUCUGGUUUAUUCCGAUAACGAGCGAGACGCCAACUGUUAACUAGUGCACGAAUUACUUCGGUUGUUCGUGAUCACUUCUUAAAGGGAUUUGUGGUUACUAGCCUCAAGAAAUGGCGCAAUAACAGGUCUGUGAUGCCCUUAGAUGUUCGGGGCCGCACGCGUGCUACAAUGGUGGUAUCAGCGUGAUUGUCCUACUCCGAUAGGAGAUGGCAAACAGUUGAGAUAUUAUUAUGGCUGGAAUUGAGUGUUGAAAUUUUCACUCAUGAACGAGGAAUUCCAAGUAAAUGCGUGUCAUCAACAUGCAUUGAUUACGUCCCUGCCCUUUGUACACACCGCCCGUCGCUCCCCGGGACUGAGUUGUUUCGAGAAAGCCACAGACCGGUGGCAUUUCAUGUUUCGGCAUGAUUGUCGCUGGAAAGUGGUUUAAUCGCAACGGCUUGAACCGGGGAAAAGUCGUA
rnacentral:rRNA from 1 species